CUCCAGAAUUUGUCACUCUGGAGGGACUUGGGGGGUCCUGGCUGGUUUUCUUCAGCAGCAGAGGACCUUUCAGUUGGGGGAAUGAUAAUGGGGGCAUCUCUUAUUUCCAAACUCUGGCAGUUUCCUUCCAUGUGGAGGGAACAACAUCCCUGGCCUGUCGGCUGCCUGCCACUCACCCGUCCCCGGAGCAGGUGAUAUAUUUGAUUUUGCAAAUUCCUUCCUCUUACGACACCCCAGCAUAAACCUGCAACGUGGCUGACUGGUUGGAAGAGCAUAUUGAAGGAGUGAAGCCAAGCAUGAGCUACGAUCAGUGACCAUGGACUCAUAAGGCUUUUGUUUAAGAAUUGCCUAAGAUGUUCUUCAGAUCCUGAAUUCCAGCAGGAAAGCUAAUGCCAACCAGUUUGAAAACAACCACAGAGGAAUCGAAUCAGCACGAGAAUGCAGUUUCUUCAUUUCCCUGUCCCAUGACUUUACUCUGCACUCUUUGACCAAUCAAUAAUCCUGGACCUUGGCCCACUUCAAACCCCUUGAAAUCUCUAGCUCCAACUCCCUGGAGGGGUGGAUUUGAGGUUUCCUCCUGUUUCCUUGUUUGGCUGCCGUAUGAUUAUUAAACUCUUUCUUUGCUGCAAUC
rnacentral:lncRNA from 10 species